ensembl:lncRNA
CCCCCGUCCUGGCCCCUGAACAGCACACCAAAGCCACCAGACGGGGACCCCAGCUCCUUUGGACGGGUUGGCAGGCAGCAGGGCCCAAGGACCCAGAAGGGCCAGUGAGGACGCGUCUGGAUCCCCAGAGCUGCGCCCCGCCGGCACCGGCCAGGCACUACCCAUGUUCUGAGAGGACCCACGACGGGGACAGGCGGCACCCAGACCCCCUCGAAGGCGGAGCUGUUGCUUCCCAGUUCGCAGAUCGGGAAACUGAGUCCUGGGGGUAGAGGGCAGGGCCCCAGCCCCCUGACAGCCCGGGUCGUGUGCCCCGCCCUGUAGGAAGGAAGGGCCGAGCUCUCCUGUGCCCAGCACCCGAGGCUCCCUCCACUGGCCGGAAACUGAGGCCCCUUGCACAACCGGCCAGCCCGGGAGGGGUCCUGCGCCAUGUGUGGGGGGCGAUGCCACCUGCGCCUCUCCCCCUGCUUCGUCUCUGCGCCCCAGCUCCAUCUCCUCCGCCCUCUUCCCUCCUCCUCCGCCUCCUUCCUUCCUUCCUCUCCCUCCGAUCCUGCAGCUCCCCCCACAGAGCCCUGAGGAGAAUGCGCUGUGCUCACCACAGCCAUUGUCUAGCUCUGGACGACUUCCUGCCGCUGAUCAGGACUGGGGCCACCGUGGGGGUGACUGGGGCUAGACUGCAGGGAGGAGGUGCUGUGCUUCGGCAGGCAGGGGCGUCCCUCUCUGAGCCUCAGUGUCCUCGCCUGUAAGACAGGGACCAUCUUGCCAGGUGAGGUGACGCGUGCCUGUCAUCCCAGCACUCGGGAGGCUGAGGCAGGAGGGUCACCCUGAGUUCAAGGCCUGGAGUGAGACUGUUUCAAAGAAAAACAAGGAAAGAAAGAAAUGAGGCCCAUUCUGAUGGCUCCCUAAGUCGACUGUGACACCUAGGGAAUGACCCUAACAGAGGUCAUCUGGCCUGCACGUCAUGGGCACUUGGCUAACCCUGGUCCACUAGAGGUCAAAGCCCAGGCCAGCAGGGCCACCCCCUCCACACCACCCCGGCAGGGCUGAGUCCUUGAGCCCUUUCCUAGAAGCACCAGCAGGGGAGAACUCGAAGCCAGACCUGGGGCUUCUGGUGGGGCAGGGUGACAGAGGAGGGAGGAGUGCACCCCAGGUCUUGGCCUGCUGGGUGCCGGGGUGCCCUCCUGAAGGGGUUUGAGGAGAGGGUGGGUGGCCAGUGCCAACCCUAAGCACGCGAGUGCCCGUGGCUGUGGAAACUGGCUGUGGUGGCUGGCGUCUGUCCCUGUCCCUCUUCAGUAGGAAGAAGGACUCAAACCCUAAAGUGGCACUGGCUUUCUCAAGUCCGCUUCCAGUGCCUGCUUCUUGCCACACAUACAGCGGUGGGAAUUGCCUCAGAACCAGGCGCCAGGCACAGGGACGAGUGGGAGGCCAAGGAAGCUCCCGACGCGCAGUUCCUCCCUGCGCCUUGUGGCCAGGAAGCUGCUGGUGACAAGGCCAGGACACGACCACCGAGGCUCCCUGCAGACGGGGCUGCUGCCUACGCCACCCGCUCGGCCAGCCCUGCCCCUCACCAUGGCACCGAGCCCAGGGUGACCGCGCUGGCGCCUCUCUGUGAGCCUCACUUUCUGUGAUAUAUGCCACAGGGCUGCUGGAGCUGGAGCGAUGCAGAGGCUCUGAGAGGCCCCAGGGCCACCCGAGGCCACACCGUGCCUGUCCCUUCCUCGUGGCCCUCAUGUGAAGUCAGACAUUCCCUGCAGGCCCCAGCUCCAGGGAAAGCCAGGCUUUCCCUUCUGUACCUGCUCCCACUGCCAAAGCACCCUCCUGCCACCCCUGGGGUGCAGGAAAUGGUUCUCAUUCCUGGGUGUGAGUGGUGCCCUCUGACACCCAUGUCCUUGCCCUCUGUGGCUGGGGGACGAGCGCCCACGGCAGGCGCCUGGCCUGGGCUUGGCCUUUGUGCUCUGUGAGGGGACAAUGGGCGGCAUUCUCAGACGCCCUGUCAUGGGCCGCUCUGCUGGGGCCGUGGCUUCACAGUGAGGCCUCUGUCCAGUGCCACGGCGAGGGCACGGGCCCCACCCACGUCCCAGCCCUGAGACAGGACAGGAGGGAGGCAUGGGCUGUGCAGUCCUACUGUGUGUAGCUGCUUCCCUGCUGGGCCUUGCACAGAGCCAGGGCUAGUGGCUGCUGGACAGGUAAACUGAGGCCAAGAGGUGUGGCACUGGGCCUGUAUCCUGGCUGGGCAGGAACCCAGGGACCAGCAGUGGCUGUACCUGAGGCUCCGUGAUUGCACAGUGCAGCCUGAGCUGGGCACAGGGCCCUCCUAUCACAAGGCAGGGACUGAGUCCUCUGCAGAGGGGACACUGAGGCUGCAGAAAGAAUAAAUAGUGGUAGCAGAGGCCCCUCAGCCCUUCCGUGGGUGCCCAGUCCCAAGCACCUUGUGCAUGUUAAUUUAUUUGAACCUACAACAGUCCUACCAAGAAAGUAACGUUAUCCCACCCAUUUAUAGGUAGGGAAACCGAGGAGGGGCCAUGCCUUUUCCACAGCCGGCAGCUGGCAGGUGGCAGAGCCCUACUUUUCUGUUUUUGCCAUCUGGGAGGGGACCUGGGGCCUGGCGCUUGCUGGCAGGCACUGAGCACUAGGCCUAAGGACUGAGGUGGGGUGUCUGAGGCCUAGCCUGGCACACACUUCCUCCAGCCCAUCCUGGGUGGUCACAAGGGCAGAGCUGUUCCCCCACCAGGUCACCCUUAGUGACAGCAUAGAUACUGCAAGGACCCACUUGGGCUCUGAAUCUGGAAAGGGAAAGGGAGGAUGAGGGGUGAAUGCUCACACAGGGGUGAUGAGAGCCUGGCAUGGACCAGCAGGACCCAGGUCUGCCUGUCUCCCCGAGGCCCUGGCCCCUCCUGCUAUCCCAGAACUCCAGGGUUUUAGGGGCCGUCAGUCACCUGAACUCUGCUUAGGGGAGUUCCGUGUGCCCUUGGGUAGUGACUCCUGCUGGCCUUGGGAGUUCCAGACCUUGGCUCUGGACGGUUUAACCCCUGAGCUCAGGUGGCCCAGCAAGACCUUGGAUUGUCUCACCCCUGCCCUUGAGUUGUCUACUUCUGGCCUCAGAUGGUCCAGCCUCUGGCCUUGGGUGGUCUAGCCUGUGACCCCAAAUGGCCCACCUCUGACCUUGCAUGGUCCAGGUCUGGCCUGAGGCUCUGCAGCUCAGCCUCCCUUUCCCUGGCCGAGCCCCGUCUGCUGAGGAACUUGGAAGUGGUUCUUCAGGGACUUUUGGGUGACAUCAUUGCUCCUUACUCAAAAGUGGCCCUGCUGACCGCAGCCAGCUGUCCUGGGAUGAGCCACCAUCCUCAGCCUGUACUUCCCCCUACACUUCCCCAUCCCUACUGAGAAGCUGCCCCUGACCCCCAGCUGGGUCCCGGGUGUCCCUGAGUCCCCACCCCUUGUCCCCAGACACUCUUGCUGUCCGGUGCUCCAGCGGGGACCUCGGUUUUUGCAACAGCUCCUCCCCCAGCCAGGCUCAUGUCAAGCUGGGCUGUGCAGGGUCCCUGUGUCCCCUGUCACUGGCAGGAGUGGGCUGGGCAUGCUCACCAGGGAGGAUGAAUGGUGAUAUCCCCUCUCCUCUCUGGGUCCCACUCAUCACUCGCCUCUGGCAGGGAGGGCCUCAGCCCCUCUGCAGCCCCCUGGUGGGCAGCAGCUUGGCUGGUGGUGUCUGCAGUUUGUGCCCUCAGUACCCAACACAGGCCACAGAGAUGGGCACCUGUACCUGGCACAUGGCAGGAGCCAGGCCUACAGGAUUGGGCUGGAAAAGCCCUUUCAUCUGGAUAGAAGCUACCAGUGUGUGCAGAGUGGCCACAUGGGCAAGAAGAUAUGGCUCUGGGUGAAGGGCAAGUCCCGGCCAUGCAGUGCUGGGUGGGAACAUCUGGGGGUGACAGGGGGGCAGCAAGUGCAAAGGUCCCGGGGCCUCAUGGCCAUGGCUCUAGCCCUUUGCCUCUGCUCUCAGUAAGCGGGGAGGAGUUAGAGUUGGGGAGUCUUGGCGCCUCGGCAGAUGCUUCAGGCCCAUCUCUGACUUCUGCUGUCCCUGCCGGCUUCUUCCAGGUGAAAGUGCCCCAUGCCCCACGCCCCACCCGAGUGGCUAUGUGCCCUGGUUGACCAGCAGGGCCACAGCUCUACGCUGGCUGUCCCAAUGAUCUCUGUACCCAGGACCCCACUACCCAGGGAGUCCAGACGUCCUGUCCCUUCCCCCACCUGCUGUCCCUCCAGCCAAUGCUACUUCCCAAGGGUCCUUUCCUGUCUACUUUCUUUUUUUUUUUUUUUUGGUACCAGGGAUUGAACUCCGGACCUUGUGCUUGAGAGGCAGGCGGCAGAACCACUGAGCUAAAUCCCCAGCCCUCCUGUCCACUUUCUGCAAGCUCAACCCUGAAGCCAACUUGGCUCCCGGGAUGACACUGGUGAAACCCAGCCCCCCAAGUCCCUCUGCUGUGGCCUGUGCCUCAGUUUCUCUGGGGGUUGGGAGGCAUUGCUGAGGACCAUCAACCCCUGCCUCAAAUUGCAAGCCUAGGGUGACAGAAGCCUCUGAAUUCUCCAUGGACGUCGAGAGCAGAGCCUGGCACAGCCCCACACAGGGCCAGGCCGGAGCGAGAACCCUGGCGGGCAGUCAGGAGGGGAGAACACAGAGCCCCUGCAUCCCCCACCCCUCUCCUCAUCCUCUGCAGGCCGGAAGGAAGCCCAGGCGGGAGUCUGGCCCUCAGCUCCCAGAUGAGGAGAACUCGCUCAGAAGGAAAAUAACAUCAGUGCCAUUGUCCCGGCUCCAAAUCCUGCCUGAAAAACAAAGCCAGCCCCACUGCAGCCGGGGAUUCCCUGGCAAAGCCUCAGCCCGGCAGCCUGGUCAGGGCGGCGCAGACCCGCAGGGAGGCAAAGGGGUCAGCACCUGCAGUGGAGACUCCCGUGUACCCCACAAGCCCGGCAGCUGCCGCCAAGGGCUGCAGAGGCGGCUGGGGAGGAGGACGGGUGCAGGGUGGAAUCCGAUGGGGACCUGAGCUGAAGGUGCUGUGCUGGCAGCUUGAGGGGGCAGGACCCCAGGACCCCAGGACCACCCUGCAGGGUGAGGCCCCUCCUCUAUCCCCUUCCUUCCCUCUGACCCCUACCAAGCUGAAAGUGCCAGCCCGAGUGUUGUUCAGGCCUCUGGGCUCCAGGCAGGCUGGCUGGAAACAGGCACAAGAUGUUUGUCCAGGCGCUUGGCUGGGCCUGGAGGAAGGAGGAAGGGGAGGAAGGGCCAGAGCGGGCAGAAGCCCAGUCAGCAGCUGGCCUCGCCCUCCACACCUCCAG